rnacentral:lncRNA from 1 species
UAUCAUUAAUCCCUAAUGCCUGGAACUGCAUAAAUUUCUUCUACAAAGGAAGCCCACAGGUCGUUUUUAUUUGGAGCACUUUUUUUAAUAGGCGCCACAAUAUAUUCUGGAAUAUCAGACAUUAAUGAACCAGUAAAGAAGAUACUGAGGAGCAGAAGAGUUUUCCCAGUGUCCCGGGAGCCAUUCUACACAGCAUCCUACAGAAUGACUGUGGAUCUGCUGUGCUUAGUUUCUUUACUUGUGAAAACAGAGUAAUAGUAGCACCUACCUCACAGGGUUGUUCUGAAGAUUAGAGGGGUUCUUUCAUGGGAAGCUCUAGAGCAGUGCUUGAGACAUGGUAAGUGUUCAACAUGUGUUCAUUAUUAUUAUCAUUAUCAAUAUUUGAUGUAAAAG